CACGUAGUUAGCCGGGGCUUCUUGGUCAGGUACCGUCAUUUCUUUCUUCCCUGCUGAUAGAGCUUUACAUACCGAGAUACUUCUUCACUCACGCGGCGUCGCUGGAUCAGGGUUCCCCCCAUUGUCCAAUAUUCCCCACUGCUGCCUCCCGUAGGAGUUUGGGCCGUGUCUCAGUCCCAAUGUGGCCGUCCACCCUUUCAGGCCGGCUACUGAUCGUCGCCUUGGUGGGCCGUUACCCCGCCAACAAGCUAAUCAGACGCGGGUCCAUCAUAUACCACCGGAGUUUUUCACACUGAGCCAUGCAGCUCCGUGCGCUUAUGCGGUAUUAGCACCUAUUUCUAAGUGUUAUCCCCCUGUAUAUGGCAGGUUACCCACGCGUUACUCACCCGUCCGCCACUAAGCCGCCAACAUUUCCACUCUUAGCAAGCUAAUCGCUUCAAAAAUGGUGGCCCCGUUCGACUUGCAUGUGUUAAGCACGCCGCCAGCGUUCAUCCUGAGCCAGGAUCAAA
rnacentral:rRNA from 1 species